rnacentral:rRNA from 1 species
AUGGGUUGCAGUUUGGCUGACCAGAAGUGGGAGAUAUGGUUUCAUUUAGAACGAAGAAACCCUGUGAAAAGGGGUAUAUUUGAGUCAGAUAUUUCUUUGCUUACUCUACAAUCACUCAUUGCUAGUGAAGGGUAUGGGGACAGUGAUUACAUGUACUAUGUAAAGGAGGAGGAAAUUGGAUCUGAAAGAGUAAAGUAUUUAGGUAAUGAAGCUAGUGUCCAUGAAAUGUUGAAGUUUUUUCAUCAUGUCAAGCUAGUGAACAUAAAGGUUGUGAGAAAUGUUGAACCUAGAAUUAGUACAUAG